rnacentral:rRNA from 1 species
UACGAAGGGUGCAAGCGUUACUCGGAAUUACUGGGCGUAAAGCGUGCGUAGGUGGUUUGUUAAGUCUGUUGUGAAAGCCCCGGGCUCAACCUGGGAAUGGCAAUGGAUACUGGCAAGCUAGAGUGCGGUAGAGGGUAGUGGAAUUCCCGGUGUAGCGGUGAAAUGCGUAGAGAUCGGGAGGAACACCAGUGGCGAAGGCGGCUACCUGGACCAGCACUGACACUGAGGCACCGAAAGCGUGGGGGAGCAAACAGG